rnacentral:rRNA from 1 species
GACGAACGCUGGCGGCGUGCUUAACACAUGCAAGUCGAACGGAAAGGCCCUGCUUGCAGGGUGCUCGAGUGGCGAACGGGUGAGUAACACGUGGGUGAUCUGCCCCUUACUUUGGGAUAAGCCUGGGAAACUGGGUCUAAUACUGGAUAGGGCCAUGCUUUAGGUGGUGUGGUGGAAAGAUUAGUUUCGGUAAGGGAUGAGCUCGCGGCCUAUCAGCUUGUUGGUGGGGUAAUGGCCUACCAAGGCGUCGACGGGUAGCCGGCCUGAGAGGGUGGACGGCCACAUUGGGACUGAGAUACGGCCCAGACUCCUACGGGAGGCAGCAGUGGGGAAUAUUGCACAAUGGGCGCAAGCCUGAUGCAGCGACGCCGCGUGGGGGAUGACGGCCUUCGGGUUGUAAACUCCUUUCAGCCAUGACGAAGCCCUUGUGGUGACGGUAGUGGUAGAAGAAGCACCGGCUAACUACGUG